rnacentral:lncRNA from 1 species
GGUCUUUUGGAAUGGGGACAGCAUAUAUGGUUCAGACUACAAACUGCUUCUGUGUGACUAAGAGAAGAAGAAUCAGAGUAAAGAGAAACAUACUCUCUUAAUCUCCGAAGAUUAACGGCAGGAGGAGCUCUAGAAUUUCACAAAGGUGCUGUCAGGACACAUGAAAAUCUAGAGAAAAAGACCAGCUUGAAGAGACCAAAAAGAAGAAAGCCUGCCAAUCACAUCCUCCAGAGAUUCUGAGACACACACACCCCUGGUGUAGGGGGACACCAUCUGAAAGGUGACACCCAUUCUACGGAAUAUAAGUACCAGCUAAAGAGGACACACACUUGAAGAAAAAGGAGACAAUGAGGUCUUGUGAAUGCUCUAAUUUUUCAAAGCUUACUUUUAAUGAUGGUUCUUAAACGCUUUAACCUCCCUUCUAGUCCACCACCCACCAAAGGUAGUGAAAAGAAAGGUGAUUAGGAUACAGGCGAAGUGAACCUGUUCAGACAUGGUUCUUUGGUGCACAACCUAGCAGGAACAUCCAGGUCUCAGUGGAAUCAGCUCAAAUCAGCAUGAAGAAUUAGGACCAUUAGGAGUUCCAGGAGAAGCUCUCAGCUCUGCCUCUCUGGACAAAUCGAUGAUCAGGAAAGACAAAAGCGCGAGAAGCGUUGCAGAGUUAGCUGUACAAGCUAGCCUCUCUCACGGUCUGUUGAGUCCUAUUUAUACUCCCUCCAAACAUCACAUGUCCUCCAUGGGUCUUGCCUCACCGUGUGUCUUACCUCAGCACAUGAAUCUGUCUCAGCUGAUAUCGCUCUGCUAAGCGACCAAGUCGGCAGAAGAGGCAAGAAGCCACCAGCCAUCACCAGAAGGUUUUUGGUGCAUUUCUCUCUGUGGAGUGUCAACAAAUGAAGAUCAACUACACAAUGAAAACACUCCUUCCUGUGUGUGCCCCAGCAAAGCACAAUUCAAUGAAACUGACUUUCUAAAGAAACCAAAAGUUGGGGCUGGAGAGAUGGCUCAGUGGUUAAGAGCACUGACUGCUCUUCAAGAUGUCCUGAGUUCAAUUCCCAGCAACCACAUGGUGGCUCACAACGAUCCAUAAUGAGAUCCAAUGCCCCCUUCUGGUGUAUCUGAAGACAGCUACAGUGUACUCACAUACAUAAAAUAAAUAAAAUCUUGAAAAAAGAAAAAAGAAAGAAAGAAGCUAGAAGUUUCCACUUGAA